rnacentral:rRNA from 1 species
UAAGGAAUAUUGGUCAAUGGACGAAAGUCUGAACCAGCCAUGCCGCGUGGAGGAUGAAGGUCCUCUGGAUUGUAAACUUCUUUUAUCUGGGACGAAAAAAGAGAAUUCUUUCUCACUUGACAGUACCAGAUGAAUAAGCACCGGCUAACUCCGUGCCAGCAGCCGCGGUAAUACGGAGGGUGCAAGCGUUAUCCGGAUUCACUGGGUUUAAAGGGUGCGUAGGCGGGCAGGUAAGUCAGCGGUGAAAUCCCCGAGCUUAACUUGGGAACUGCCGUUGAUACUAUUUGUCUUGAAUAUCGUGGAGGUUAGCGGAAUAUGUCAUGUAGCGGUGAAAUGCUUAGAUAUGACAUAGAACACCCAUUGCGAAGGCAGCUAACUACGCGAUUAUUGACGCUGAGGCACGAAAGCGUGGGGAUCAAACAGGAUUAGAUACCCCGGUAGUCC